rnacentral:lncRNA from 1 species
UAUCAUAGUAGAAAUAGGAGAAAAGCAGAGUCCUUUCGUUUGGUGAGGUUUGUUUCCCUCUUGAGUGUGAGUGAGUUUGUGUAGUGGCCAACCCCAUAGCGCUCUAUGCAGGGAUCUGCUGCAGAGGUGUGCUCAGUCUGCUCAGUCUCCAAGCGCUCUGUGCAGGGAUCUGCUGCAGAGGUGUGCUCAGUCUGCUCAGUCUCCAAGCGCUCUGUGCAGGGAUCUGCUGCAGAGGUGUGCUCAGUCUGCUCAGUCUCCAAGCGCUCUGUGCAGGGAUCUGCUGCAGAGGUGUGCUCAGUCUGCUCAGUCUCCAAGCGCUCUGUGCAGGGAUCUGCUGCAGAGGUGUGCUCAGUCUGCUCAGUCUCCAAGCGCUCUAUGCAGGGAUCUGCUGCAGAGGUGUGCUCAGUCUGCUCAGUCUCCAAGCGCUCUGUGCAGGGAUCUGCUGCAGAGGUGUGCUCAGUCUGCUCAGUCUCCAAGCGCUCUGUGCAGGGAUCUGCUGCAGAGGUGUGCUCAGUCUGCUCAGUCUCCAAGCGCUCUGUGCAGGGAUCUGCUGCAGAGGUGUGCUCAGUCUGCUCAGUCUCCAAGCGCUCUGUGCAGGGAUCUGCUGCAGAGGUGUGCUCAGUCUGCUCAGUCUCCAAGCGCUCUGUGCAGGGAUCUGCUGCAGAGGUGUGCUCAGUCUGCUCAGUCUCCAAGCGCUCUAUGCAGGGAUCUGCUGCAGAGGUGUGCUCAGUCUGCUCAGUCUCCAAGCGCUCUAUGCAGGGAUCUGCUGCAGAGGUGUGCUCAGUCUGCUCAGUCUCCAAGCGCUCUGUGCAGGGAUCUGCUGCAGAGGUGUGCUCAGUCUGCUCAGUCUCCAAGCGCUCUGUGCAGGGAUCUGCUGCAGAGGUGUGCUCAGUCUGCUCAGUCUCCAAGCGCUCUGUGCAGGGAUCUGCUGCAGAGGUGUGCUCAGUCUGCUCAGUCUCCAAGCGCUCUGUGCAGGGAUCUGCUGCAGAGGUGUGCUCAGUCUGCUCAGUCUCCAAGCGCUCUGUGCAGGGAUCUGCUGCAGAGGUGUGCUCAGUCUGCUCAGUCUCCAAGCGCUCUGUGCAGGGAUCUGCUGCAGAGGUGUGCUCAGUCUGCUCAGUCUCCAAGCGCUCUGUGCAGGGAUCUGCUGCAGAGGUGUGCUCAGUCUGCUCAGUCUCCAAGCGCUCUGUGCAGGGAUCUGCUGCAGAGGUGUGCUCAGUCUGCUCAGUCUCCAAGCGCUCUGUGCAGGGAUCUGCUGCAGAGGUGUGCUCAGUCUGCUCAGUCUCCAAGCGCUCUGUGCAGGGAUCUGCUGCAGAGGUGUGCUCAGUCUGCUCAGUCUCCAAGCGCUCUGUGCAGGGAUCUGCUGCAGAGGUGUGCUCAGUCUGCUCAGUCUCCAAGCGCUCUGUGCAGGGAUCUGCUGCAGAGGUGUGCUCAGUCUGCUCAGUCUCCAAGCGCUCUGUGCAGGGAUCUGCUGCAGAGGUGUGCUCAGUCUGCUCAGUCUCCAAGCGCUCUGUGCAGGGAUCUGCUGCAGAGGUGUGCUCAGUCUGCUCAGUCUCCAAGCGCUCUGUGCAGGGAUCUGCUGCAGAGGUGUGCUCAGUCUGCUCAGUCUCCAAGCGCUCUGUGCAGGGAUCUGCUGCAGAGGUGUGCUCAGUCUGCUCAGUCUCCAAGCGCUCUGUGCAGGGAUCUGCUGCAGAGGUGUGCUCAGUCUGCUCAGUCUCCAAGCGCUCUGUGCAGGGAUCUGCUGCAGAGGUGUGCUCAGUCUGCUCAGUCUCCAAGCGCUCUGUGCAGGGAUCUGCUGCAGAGGUGUGCUCAGUCUGCUCAGUCUCCAAGCGCUCUGUGCAGGGAUCUGCUGCAGAGGUGUGCUCAGUCUGCUCAGUCUCCAAGCGCUCUGUGCAGGGAUCUGCUGCAGAGGUGUGCUCAGUCUGCUCAGUCUCCAAGCGCUCUGUGCAGGGAUCUGCUGCAGAGGUGUGCUCAGUCUGCUCAGUCUCCAAGCGCUCUGUGCAGGGAUCUGCUGCAGAGGUGUGCUCAGUCUGCUCAGUCUCCAAGCGCUCUGUGCAGGGAUCUGCUGCAGAGGUGUGCUCAGUCUGCUCAGUCUCCAAACGCUCUGUGCAGGGAUCUGCUGCAGAGGUGUGCUCAGUCUGCUCAGUCUCCAAGCGCUCUGUGCAGGGAUCUGCUGCAGAGGUGUGCUCAGUCUGCUCAGUCUCCAAGCGCUCUGUGCAGGGAUCUGCUGCAGAGGUGUGCUCAGUCUGCUCAGUCUCCAAGCGCUCUGUGCAGGGAUCUGCUGCAGAGGUGUGCUCAGUCUGCUCAGUCUCCAAGCGCUCUGUGCAGGGAUCUGCUGCAGAGGUGUGCUCAGUCUGCUCAGUCUCCAAGCGCUCUGUGCAGGGAUCUGCUGCAGAGGUGUGCUCAGUCUGCUCAGUCUCCAAACGCUCUGUGCAGGGAUCUGCUGCAGAGGUGUGCUCAGUCUGCUCAGUCUCCAAGCGCUCUGUGCAGGGAUCUGCUGCAGAGGUGUGCUCAGUCUGCUCAGUCUCCAAGCGCUCUGUGCAGGGAUCUGCUGCAGAGGUGUGCUCAGUCUGCUCAGUCUCCAAGCGCUCUAUAGGGAUCUGCUGCAGAGGUGUGCUCAGUCUGCUCAGUCUCCAAGCGCUCUGUGCAGCUCUGAUACAGACCGCACUGUUCUGAAUUUGAAAGUGCUAAGCUCUUGUCAGGGAAGCUUGGGGCUGUGGCGGUAUGGGGUGCCUCUUGAGCAGGGCCGCCCUGCCUUCUUGGUAGCUGGCCUCAGGAGUCACAGGCAAGUGCCCUUCGCACCCUCAGUCCCUUCAGUGCUUUGAGAGCGCAGGUUAAAUAAGCCUUCUAAUCUUAUGUGCUAUUGCUUUGUGAACCUUGCUUAUUAUUGAAAGUCUAUUAUAAUAGACUGCAAGAUAUAAGAGACUACAAGAUAGCAUCUCAUUGUAACUACUGCAUGGAACCUCAAGAUUUAAGUAAAAAAUGUAAAAUCCUAAUACUUUGAAUGAAGAGGCACGCAUAUCCUUGUGAGUACAAAGCCUGUCUGGUCUACAUAGUACUGUAAAGUGAGACCCUGCCCUUAAAGAUGGAUGGAUGGAUGGAUCGAUCAAUUGAUCCAUCUGUGCUCACCAUCAUCUCAAGUAGAAGAAACAGCUUGCUUUUUGCCAAUUUCUUACUCACUUAUAGCUAGGCUUUUCUCUGUUGUUAGCUCUUUGAGCUCCCUCACUGCUUGUGUGGAAGCCUCACUGUCCUCAGCCGUCUCCGCACUUGUCUCAGGUGCUUCUUUAGCCAUUUUUGUGACCGAAACUUGUGCCUGCCACUGCUUGCUCCCUCUCCUUCCUUUUGUCUUUAAUUUUGAGUGCUGUAGAGGAAUAUUUCUGUGGGUACCUUUACCUUGCUAGUUUGUUGCCCACAUGGGCAUUUGUAGCAGCCAGAGGUCAGGAUGUCUUCUUCAGUCUCAGUCUGUACUGUGUGUACCUGGUCCCUUCUAGGCCAAAAUAGGAUAUGAGAUUCCCUGGAAAUAGUUAGAGGUGGCUGUGAACUGACAUGUGGGUGCUGGGAAUCAAGCUUGCUCUUCUGGAAGAGCAACCAGUGCUCUUACCUGCUGAGCCAUCACUCCAGCGCCACCCACCUAGUUUUGUCAGCAUAGUCUCUCACUUAUCUGAAACACUGGUCACACUGGUCAGACAGAAAGCCUGCGUCUGUCUCCCUGUCCUGGGGUUAGCCAGAGAUCCAGACUCACUCUUCAUGCUUUCACAGUGAGCGCUGUCCUUACACUCUGGAGUCCAGUCCUGUUCUUCUGUGUAGACAUGAAAAAAAUUAUGCCAGGCAGUGGUGGUAGACGCCUUUAUCUCAAUACUCAGAAGGCAGAGACAGGUGGGUCUGACCCUUCCUGAGUUUAAGGCCAGCCUGGUCUACAGAGUGAGUUCCAAGACAGUUGGGGCUGCACAGAGAAAAAAAAAAAACCUACCAACCAACGUACAAAAAAAAAAGUUACUAGUAUGAUGGAUACAUAAGCUUGAAAAGAAAAUGGAAAAGGCAUGUUUGUCAUGAUGAUCUGUUGCUGCAACUUGAGCGAAAGUAACUGUGAUUUUUCUUUGUGAAACUUUAUUUGCAGCACUGGACAGGACACUGUCUCCAACCCUUCUUACAUGAACCAGAGCUCUCGUCUUCAGGCAGCUGCUGGUACAGCUGCUUACACACAGCCUGUGGGGAUGUCUACAGAUGUGUCUUCUUUCCAGAACACAGCAUCCGGUUUGCCUCAGCUGGCUGGCUUUCCAGUGGCAGUUCCUGCACCUGUCGCUGCACAGCCACAAGCAAGCUACCACCAGCAGCCUCUCCUGUAGAGACGCACCAGGACCUGCUGAACGGCUUUGUGGGUGUGCUGUUUAAUCUAGGGGAUUCUAAUCUGAAAUAUUAAAAGUUUCCCCUCUCAGUCAAAAAGAACCAUGAAUAAAUAAAGCACAAAACCCCACCUUA